rnacentral:rRNA from 1 species
UACAGAGGUCCCAAGCGUUGUUCGGAUUCAUUGGGCGUAAAGGGUGCGUAGGUGGCGCUGUAAGUCGGGUGUGAAAUUUCGGAGCUUAACUCCGAAACUGCAUUCGAUACUGCGGUGCUUGAGGACUGGAGAGGAGACUGGAAUUCAUGGUGUAGCAGUGAAAUGCGUAGAGAUCAUGAGGAAGACCAGUGGCGAAGGCGGGUCUCUGGACAGUUACUGACGCUGAGGCACGAAGGCCAGGGGAGCAAACGGG